rnacentral:misc_RNA from 1 species
AACGCACCUUGCACCCUGUGGCUUACCACAGGGUACACCCGUUCGAGUGUCACGUAAACCAUCGCCUAAGCAAAAGCUUGCUUUUGCCCUGGCGGAACUGGACGCCUGCCGUUGUUGGCUCGUCCGAAAUGUAUUAGCGAGGGUGGUCUGCCUAAACUGCUUGGCGUGAUAUUUACUUUUCUCGCCUGUCGGUCGGUCUGGGUGGACGGCUCUGCUCCGAAUCCCGUCGCGUCGACGGAACAUUAUUCAAAGUUUGACCUCGAAUCGGGUGGGACUACCCGCUGAACUUAA